GAUGAACGCUGGCGGCGUGCCUAAUACAUGCAAGUCGAGCGAACAGACGAGGAGCUUGCUCCUCUGACGUUAGCGGCGGACGGGUGAGUAACACGUGGAUAACCUACCUAUAAUACUGGGAUAACUUCGGGACACCGGAGCUAAUACGGGAUAAUAUAUUGAACCGCAUGGUUCAAUAGUGAAAGACGGUGUUGCUGGCACGUAUAGAUGGAUCCGCGCCGCAUUAGCGAGUUGGUAAGGUAACGGCUUACCAAGGCAACGAUGCGUAGCCGACCUGAGAGGGGGAUCGGCCACUGUGGAAGUGAGCCACGAUCCAGAGUCCGACGGGAGGCAGCAGUAGGGAAUCGAGCGCAAAGUGCGAAAGACUGACGGAGCAACGGCGCGUGAGUGAUGAAGGUCUUCGGAUCGUAAAACUCUGUUAUUGGGGAAGAACAAAUGUGUAAGUAACGAUGCACGUCUGGAGGGUACCUAAUCAGAAAGCCACGGCAAACUACGU
rnacentral:rRNA from 1 species